GAUGGAACACGUAGUUCAGGCAUGUCACCGUUUCAUCCAAGCCAGCUAUGAACCUCUAGGCAUCUCCCUGCGACCCAUGGAGGCAGAACCCCCAAGACCCCCAACAGUCCCUCCACCAGGCAGUCCCAGGCGCUCAGAAGGACACCCGGACCCACCUACUGAGUCUCGAAGCUGCAGUCAAGGUUCCCCAAGUCCAGCCAGCCCAGAAGUGUUACAAGGUUGGUUGAGGGCUGCAGUUUCUGGUGGGGAACAUGUAGAUAAAGAUGUUAGGGACGGAGUGCCAUGGUUAGAUGGAGUGUCUGGGAUGUUAGAUAGUAUUUGGGAGCCUUGAUUUACAGUUCUGCUCUCGUUGCCUUGGGACCUAUCUGAUUAUAGUACUUGGGUAAACGGUAAAAGGACUUGAAUUUGUAGGGCAGAGACUCCUGAAUUAAGGCAGUUCUUGUGGCCAGCAGCUGGGGACAGGUGAGAAAGCCAUCCAUUCUUCCAGUUCCCAUUUAACUCUCCUACCACCUGAAUGAAUGCAGACUUGUGUGUGGGUUGGGGCAACGACAGGGGAGAGAUUGAGAAGGUGAUGAUUUCUUUUUAGCAGACUGGACAGGCACAUGGGAAGUGCCGGGGUGAGAGGUUAGAUUCUGCAAGAUCAGAUCCUUGGAAUAAAGAAGCCCUACUUUGUGCC
rnacentral:lncRNA from 1 species